GACGAACGCUGGCGGCGUGCUUAACACAUGCAAGUCGAACGAUGAAGCUGGAGCUUGCUCCGGUGGAUUAGUGGCGAACGGGUGAGUAACACGUGAGCAAUCUGCCCUUCACUCUGGGAUAACUGCGGGAAACUGUAGCUAAUACCGGAUACGAGACCUUGGGGCAUCCCAGGGUCGGGAAAGAAUUUCGGUGAAGGAUGAGCUCGCGGCCUAUCAGCUAGUUGGUGAGGUAAUGGCUCACCAAGGCGACGACGGGUAGCCGGCCUGAGAGGGUGACCGGCCACACUGGGACUGAGACACGGCCCAGACUCCUACGGGAGGCAGCAGUGGGGAAUAUUGCACAAUGGGCGAAAGCCUGAUGCAGCAACGCCGCGUGAGGGAUGAAGGCCUUCGGGUUGUAAACCUCUUUUAGUAGGGAAGAAGCGCAAGUGACGGUACCUACAGAAAAAGCACCGGCUAACUACGUGCCAGCCGCCGCCGUAA
rnacentral:rRNA from 1 species